rnacentral:misc_RNA from 1 species
AACGCACAUUGCGCCCAUUAGUAUUCUAGUGGGCAUGCCUGUUCGAGCGUCAUUUCAACCCUUAAGCCUCUGUUGCUUAGUGUUGGGAGCCUACAGCACCUGUAGCUCCUCAAAGUUAGUGGCGGAGUCGGUUCACACUCUAGACGUAGUAAUUUUAUCUCGCCUAUUAGUCGGACCGGUCCCUUGCCGUAAAACCCCUAUUUCUAAAGGUUGACCUCGGAUCAGGUAGGAAUACCCGCUGAACUUAA